UAAUACGGAGGGUGCAAGCGUUAUCCGGAUUUACUGGGUUUAAAGGGUGCGUAGGCGGAUUGGUAAGUCCGUGGUGAAAUCCCCGAGCUUAACUUGGGAACUGCCAUGGAUACUAUCAGUCUUGAAUACCGUGGAGGUAAGCGGAAUAUGUCAUGUAGCGGUGAAAUGCUUAGAUAUGACAUAGAACACCGAUUGCGAAGGCAGCUUACUACGCGGUAAUUGACGCUGAGGCACGAAAGCGUGGGGAUCAAACAGGAUUAGAUACCCUGGUAGUCCACGCCCUAAACUAUGGAUACUCGACAUCAGCGAUACACUGUUGGUGUCUGAGCGAAAGCAUUAAGUAUCCCACCUGGGAAGUACGAUCGCAAGAUUG
rnacentral:rRNA from 1 species